AAUUCUUUCAACUUUGUUUCAUGAAGAUUACACCCCAAUGCAACAUCCUCAUGAAGAAUUUUUGCUCCAGAUCCUGGCGCAUCAACUGAUCCAACAGCCUCUUCAUCAACCAAAACUGUGCUAACAAAACUGUUUCCUGUCUUCUUGUCUGGAAUCUCAUACAUUGCUUCAGUGAGAAUGUUUUCUAAGAUAGCUCUCAAACCUCGGGCACCAGUGUUCUUCGCCAUUGCUUUCUUUGCAAUCAAUCUCAAUGCAUCAUUAGUGAAAACUAGUUUGACAUUAUUCAUAUUGAACAUCUUUUUGUAUUGUUUACCAAGAGCAUUUUUUGGCUCCAUUAGGACCUGAACCAGCUGGUCCUCAUUCAACGCCGACAAGCUCACUAAUAUGGGGAACCGUCCAACAAAUUCAGGAAUCAGGCCAUAUGCAACUAGGUCACCACUUUCUACAGAUUCCAAUAAUGAUGAUGUCACCACAGAAUCAGUCAUUCCACCAGUUCUCAUGUUUGCACGAACUGGUGCUCCAAAGCCUAUAGAAGCAUCUUGUCGUCUUUCUGAAAUGGUUUUCUCCAAAUCAACAAAUGCUCCACCACAUAUGAAAAGGAUGUCUUUUGUGUCUAUCUGAAUUAUAUCGCCAUGAGAAUGCUUCCGAGGUCCUUUAUCAGGAAAAGGAACAUUUACAAUUGUUCCUUCCAGCAUUUUUAGUAAUGCCUGUUGAACACCCUCUCCAGAUACAUCUCUGCCAAUAUUGGAACUCUCUGCCUUUUUAGUUAUUUUGUCGACUUCAUCAAUGUAAACAAUCCCCUUCUGUGCUGCUUCCACGUUGAAUUCAGAUGCCGCAAGCAGCUUGUACAAAAUUGACUCCACAUCUCCCCCAACAUAACCAGCCUGUGUUAGUGUUGUUGCAUCAGCAAUUACAAACGGUACAUUCACAAUGCGAGCCAG
rnacentral:misc_RNA from 1 species